rnacentral:rRNA from 1 species
AAUAUUGCGCAAUGGAGGAAACUCUGACGCAGCGACGCCGCGUGAGCGAUGAAGGUCUUCGGAUCGUAAAGCUCUGUCCUUGGGGAAGAAGGUCUUCGGACUUGACGGUACCCAUGGAGGAAGCCCCGGCUAACUACGUGCCAGCAGCCGCGGUAAUACGUAGGGGGCAAGCGUUGUCCGGAAUUAUUGGGCGUAAAGGGUGCGUAGGCGGCCUUUUAAGUCAGAUGUGAAAGCCAACGGCUCAACCGUGGGAUUGCAUUUGAAACUGGAGGGCUUGAGUAUCGGAGAGGGUAGUGGAAUUCCCAGUGUAGAGGUGAAAUUCGUAGAUAUUGGGAAGAACACCGGUGGCGAAGGCGGCUACCUGGCCCGAUACUGACGCUGAGGCGCGAAAGCGUGGGGAGCAAAC